UUGGAGCAUUGUUUGGUUCACUCGACUCCUUUUCUAGAGUUGUUACUAUUCUAUAUAAUAGUACAGUCUAAAGAUAUUGGCUGAAGAUCACUCUUCUGAAAACCUCACAAGUCAUUCCCUUAUCAGUGUUCACUUUUUUCACCUUUAAGUUCCCUUCUCUUCUCAUUCAACUUUCAUAAUUCACACAAAUAUGACAACAGUGUCAACUUCUUAAACCCCUUUAUGUACACACCUAACUAUUCAUACCAUUUGUUCACUAGCCCAAAUCCUCACUUUUCUAAAUAUCAACCUUUUGUAGCUGCUCUUUUUAGUCUUUUCUCUGUAAACAUGGUUUCCAUUCUCAGAUGCCGCAAACAUGGAAAUUCAAUGAUGUUCCUCAUCUUUUUGUCAGCUUCAAGCUUGACCCUCCUCAAUUUAAUGGCUCAAGGUAGAGUGAUACAUAACCACAUUGACUUGUCUCAGAUUAAUGGAGAGAAUGAGAGUACGGUGACAAGAAAAAUGAUAGGAUCAAGGCCACCAAGAUGUGAAAGGAAAUGUAGAAAUUGUGGGCAUUGCAAGGCAGUUCAGGUUCCCAUUGCACCCCUAAGAAGAAGCCAUAAGCUGUAUACUGCUUUUUCCAGAGGUGAUGAUUUAUCGGAUUACAAGCCCAUGUGUUGGAAAUGUCAAUGUGGGAAUUCUUUCUUCAACCCCUAGCUAAUGCUGCACGAUGGAUCAUCGUAAAUUAUUAAAGUGUGCCAUUUCAGGUCCAUUAUAAAUUCUGUCCGAGCAGCCUCUGUGUAAGGAGCGGGUUUAAGAUUUGUGCUUAGCUGUCUUUUUAUAAAUUCAGCUGUUUAUAUCUAAUGUUUCUGAUUCUGUCAAUCAGAAUUGUUAAUUUCCAUUGCCAUUUGAUAAAUUUUGAUUAUUAUUUUUCUCAAGAUUUUAUG